rnacentral:rRNA from 1 species
GUAGGUGGCAAGCGUUGUCCGGAUUUACUGGGCGUAAAGAGCGCGCAGGCGGUCGUAUAAGUCGAAUGUGAAAGCCCCCGGCUCAACUGGGGAGGGUCAUUCGAUACUGUUCGACUCGAAGGCAGGAGAGGGAAGUGGAAUUCCGGGUGUAGUGGUGAAAUGCGUAGAUAUCCGGAGGAACACCAGUGGCGGAGGCGACUUUCUGGCCUGUUCUUGACGCUGAGGCGCGAAAGCUAGGGGAGCAAACGGGAUUAGAUACCCCGGUAGUCCUAGCCGUAAACGAUGGACACUAGGUGUUGGUGGUAUCAACCCCGCCAGUGCCGUAGCUAACGCAUUAAGUGUCCCGCCUGGGGAGUACGGCCGCAAGGCUA